UUCGUGGAGGGUUCGAUUCUGGCUCAGGAUGAACGCUGGCGGCGUGCUUAACACAUGCAAGUCGAACGGGAUCUGACCAGCUUGCUGGUUGGUGAGAGUGGCGAACGGGUGAGUAAUGCGUGACCAACCUGCCCCAUGCUCCAGAAUAGCUCUUGGAAACGGGUGGUAAUGCUGGAUGCUCCAACUUGACGCAUGUCUUGUUGGGAAAGUGUUUAGUGGCAUGGGAUGGGGUCGCGUCCUAUCAGCUUGUAGGCGGGGUAAUGGCCCACCUAGGCUUCGACGGGUAGCCGGCCUGAGAGGGCGGACGGCCACAUUGGGACUGAGAUACGGCCCAGACUCCUACGGGAGGCAGCAGUGGGGAAUAUUGCGCAAUGGGGGAAACCCUGACGCAGCGACGCCGCGUGCGGGAUGAAGGCCUUCGGGUUGUAAACCGCUUUUGAUUGGGAGCAAGCUUUCGGGUGAGUGUACCUUUCGAAUAAGCGCCGGCUAACUACGUGCCAGCAGCCGCGGUAAUACGUAGGGCGCAAGCGUUAUCCGGAAUUAUUGGGCGUAAAGAGCUUGUAGGCGGUUCGUCGCGUCUGGUGUGAAAGCCCAUCGCUUAACGGUGGGUUUGCGCCGGGUACGGGCGGGCUAGAGUGCAGUAGGGGAGACUGGAAUUCUCGGUGUAACGGUGGAAUG
rnacentral:ncRNA from 1 species